GUAACCAGUUAGGAAAAUUGUUCCUUCACUCAUAUUUGCUUUUCUCUUUCUGUCCGAGUGGAAGCCUUAAGCCUAUGGGAAUUACCGUGGCGGGGAAGGCCUGCCAAGAUCUCUUUCUGAAUAGUACUAAAACGUCUCUGGAAUCCGUUCUGUAUGAGCAAAGCACAGACAGUACCUUUCCUCCAGCUCUCACAAGCUAGUUUGGAGUAAUCCUUUGAUGAGAAAACCUUGACGGUGUUUCAGAAGAGGAAGAAAAUCCGCCUCUGCAGAGCCACUAGAGACUUUGCCUAUUACUAAUUGAUUCUACACGGAGAGCACGCAGUGGUGACAGCAUCAGUCUGAAACGGGUAGAAACUGAUGUUAGUACAACAGUGUUUGGGAAGAUAUGCUCUAAUAGUACUUU